GACGAACGCUGGCGGCGUGCUUAACACAUGCAAGUCGAACGGAAAGGCCCUGCUUUUGUGGGGUGCUCGAGUGGCGAACGGGUGAGUAACACGUGAGUAACCUGCCCUUGACUUUGGGAUAACUUCAGGAAACUGGGGCUAAUACCGGAUAGGAGCUCCUGCUGCAUGGUGGGGGUUGGAAAGUUUCGUCGGUUGGGGAUGGACUCGCGGCUUAUCAGCUUGUUGGUGGGGUAGUGGCUUACCAAGGCUUUGACGGGUAGCCGGCCUGAGAGGGUGACCGGGCACAUUGGGACUGAGAUACGGCCCAGACUCCUACGGGAGGCAGCAGUGGGGAAUAUUGCACAAUGGGCGGAAGCCUGAUGCAGCAACGCCGCGUGCGGGAUGACGGCCUUCGGGUUGUAAACCGCUUUCGCCUGUGACGAAGCGUGAGUGACGGUAAUGGGUAAAGAAGCACCGGCUAACUACGUG
rnacentral:rRNA from 1 species